AAGCAUUGUUUCUAGAUCUGAGUAUAUCAAUAUUACCUUGUUCAGAACUUAAAGAGAAAUCUUGAGUUUAUGGACUUCAGGGGGAGUAUGGUCACAAGGCUGAAACUUAAAGGAAUUGACGGAAGGGCACACCAGGAGUGGAGCCUGCGGCUUAAUUUGACUCAACACGGGAAAACUUACCAAGACCGAACAGUAGAAGGAAUGACAGAUUAAGAGUUCUUUCAUGAUUUAUUGGGUAGUGGUGCAUGGCCGUUCUUAGUUGGUGGAGUGAUUUGUCAGGUUAAUUCCGGUAACGAACGAGACUGAAACCUAUUAAUUAGUUUUCUGCCUAUAAGACAGAAAUGUUCGCAAGAACAGGUGCGUAAGUACCACUUCUUAAAGGGACACAUUCAA
rnacentral:rRNA from 1 species